CAGUCGCCGCGGUAAUACGGAGGGGGCUAGCGUUGUUCGGAAUUGCUGGGCGUAAAGCGUGCGUAGGCGGUUCGUUAAGUCUGUUGUGAAAGCCCCGGGCUCAACCUGGGAAUGGCAAUGGAUACUGGCGAGCUAGAGUGUGUCAGAGGAUGGUGGAAUUCCCGGUGUAGCGGUGAAAUGCGUAGAGAUCGGGAGGAACAUCAGUGGCGAAGGCGAGGUCCUGGACGUUUUCUGACGCUGAGACGCGAAAGCUAGGGGAGCGAACGGGAUUAGAUACCCCCGUAGUCCCUGUCUCUUAUAC
rnacentral:rRNA from 1 species